UACGUAGGGGGCAAGCGUUGUCCGGAAUCAUUGGGCGUAAAGCGCGCGUAGGCGGCCCGACUCAGUCCGCUGUAAAAAGUCCAGGGCUCAACCCUGGAAAGCCGGUGGAUACUGUCGGGCUAGAGUCCGGAAGAGGCGAGUGGAAUUCCUGGUGUAGCGGUGGAAUGCGCAGAUAUCAGGAGGAACACCGAUAGCGAAGGCAGCUCGCUGGGACGGUACUGACGCUGAGGUGCGAAAGCGUGGGGAGCGAACAGG
rnacentral:rRNA from 1 species